GCCGAGCCGGGCCAGCGCUUCCUUCCGCCGCCGCGGCCCCGGGCUCGGCCCCGCCGGCACGUCAGGCGCCCUCCGUGUAAAUGGCCUCUCUGUGUCUUUUAUCGACGUGUCUGUGUGGGUUCGUGCGCGUGAGCGCAGGCGACGGGAAGCCAAAGGUGGCAGAUGACCCUGCAAGCCCGAGGGACGAGCGGUUGUGAGCCGCCCUGCACGGGAACUGAACUCCCGACCUCCGCAGCAGCACUGUGCGUUCCUCCAGCACGGCCUUUAAACUUUUUGUUAAAUUGAUUAGAAAACAAACAAACAAAGACGAGAGGGGGUUCGCGGUGCCCUCUCCCUAAGCACAUGUCAUUUGUACAGGUUUCCCGCUGCAAAUUCAGUGGUCCCUGUGUGAGAUUUCUGGGAUCAGUCAGUACUGUUGGAAUUUGGACUGUGACCAGUCUGGUGGUUCAAGAGUACACUGAAGGAUUACUGGAGCUAAGGAGUUUUAGAAGAGUUAUUAACUCCAUGGACAAGGCAGGCAGGCAGACAGACAGACAGACAGACAGACAGGAGGGCAUUGGCACAAUAGUGGCUCCAGCACCGGAGACAGCAGAACAGGAUCUCUGGAGAGCCAGUGGCCCAGAGUGAGCACCGGAAGGAGCUAGUGAAUAGAGAGGACACUGAGAGGCAUUCCACCUGUCACCUCUGCGCAGAAGUCUGACCCCGGUUAGCACCUGCCCAGCCACCCUCAUCACCCCAACCAUAGCUGUUAGAACGCUGAUCCCAUCUCCCCUGGGAGGCUGCUUGGUUAGAAGGCUGAGCCCUACGGGCUGGCUGUAGUGAAGAGAUCAGCGCUGCUCUCGGCAUUGGCCAAAGAAGUCUCUUUCUGCAGUGGGCAGCGGGGCCGAGACAGACAGCUAGUCAAAAUGCGGAGACGCGACUGAAGAUUCAGCCCUAAACUGGAAUCUAUGCAACCCCUCCCCCAAUGCUUGGGAAACAACGUGGAAGAGAGCUGAGAGAAUACAAGUGGGAGGGUGGGGAGGGGCUCUGAGCUGCUGUCUUCUGCAUGUGACAUGACUCAGGCAUUCAUGAGCUCACAGAUGCUACGGGUCCCUGCAUGAGAUCAUGCCAACAAGAGCAGCCGACAUUCCAGCAGGCAGUAUUCAGUGGGCUGCGAAAAGUGGGGAGACCUGAAAGUGGUGGAGGGAUGUGUGCUGGGAUAUGUUUGGUGGGGAAAUUAAUAGGGGGAGAAUAUGCUCAAGAUAAAUUAUAUACAUGUAUGAAAUCGUCAAAUUCUGAAAAUAUUUUAUGCAAAAUAAACCUACCCAUAUCAUCAG